GACGGGACCCGCACAAGCGGUGGAUGAUGUGGUUUAAUUCGAUGCAACGCGAAAACCUUACCACCUUUGACAUGGCAGGAAUCCCGAAGAGAUUUGGGAGUGCUCGAAAGAGAACCUGCACACAGGUGCUGCAUGGCUGUCGUCAGCUCGUGUCGUGAGAUGUUGGGUUAAGUCCCGCAACGAGCGCAACCCUUGUCUUUAAUUGCCAUCAUUUAGUUGGGCACUUUAAAGAGACUGCCGGUGUUAAGCCGGAGGAAGGUGGGGAUGACGUCAAGUCCUCAUGGCCUUUAUGCCCAGGGCUACACACGUGCUACAAUGGGCGGUACAGAGGGUAGCCAACCCGCGAGGGGGAGCCAAUCCCACAAAGCCGGUCGUAGUCCGGAUCGCAGUCUGCAACUCGACUGCGUGAAGUCGGAAUCGCUAGUAAUCGCGGAUCAGCAUGUCGCGGUGAAUACGUUCCCGGGUCUU
rnacentral:rRNA from 1 species